GGAAUGUCAGCGGCGAGCUACUGGACAGGACCUCUUUUGCAUGUAUGAGGAGGCCAAAUCAAUGCAACAUGAGGAGUGUCACAGAGGUCUGCAAGUCAUCCUGGGCACCUUGCUCCUUCCAUACCUGUUCAGAGAGAACCCCAAAGCACUUUAUGUGAUCAAUAGAAAGGAUCCAGAGGUUCCAACGCCGGUACUGGUCAUUAC